AGAGAAGGCACUGAGCAGGUCCUGCUAAGGACUGUGUCCUAGCUCUGGCUGUGCCAAGAGAAGUUAGAUGCUGUUAGUAUGGAGGAAGGGGCUGCACAGAACAAUCCUGGGGCUAUCAGCAGUGCUGGAAAGGGAGAGGGAAAGGAGAGUAGAUGAUGAUUCCAGAAGUUUCCCUAUCUGCUGGUGGUACCUCUUAGACCUGCUAACCAUAAGAGUCCAGCAAAGGGUCAUCUGAUUGCUGGAGAGGUGUUGCAGCGUUAUUCAUCAGCUAAGGUAAGAGUGUUCUUUCCCAGUUAACCAGGUGGUUCUGUCAUUUGACACCAAAGUUUUAUGCAUUGACAUGUGCUGUCCUGUGUCUUGGUUUAGAAGGCAGUCAAGAGACCUCAGUUCUUUCAAAUAAAUGGCUGAGCUUGGAGCACUGUGGCUUGAUGUUCCUAAAGCUGCUAAUCCUAAUUAACAGCUUUUCUGAGUCCAUUUUAUACCACUCUAUAACAGCCCAAGUGGGCUUUAAAGUGAAUGGAAAUGACCCCAUGGAGAGCCCUCUCUGGAGAUGUUGCUAUGCCGACCUGCUUACAGCAGCUAUUAAAGUUUCGGUUGCUCUCUCCCAUCCUGCAGUGCUGUUACUGUCAUAUGUGCUCAGAUGGUUCCAGAAUUGUGUCUCGGAUGGAUGGGGCCUGGUCUCAAUUAUUUGUUUUUCUGGAAGACAUGGGGAAAAGAGGGAAAAAAGGGUAAUAAGGUAACAUCAUGUCAGGCAAUAAUAUAAAGAGUCUGCAACAGCAGCAGGGAAAAAAAAAUAGCUGCACAAACCUCAGAUUCCUCUGGAGAGGGAAAAAAAAAAAAAGGUCAAUUUUCUUUUCCCACAACCCUUUCAAAAAACAUUUUUUU
ensembl:lncRNA